AUUAGAGUUUGAUCAUGGCUCAGGAUGAACGCUGGCGGCGUGCUUAACACAUGCAAGUCGAACGGACAGCUGAUGAAACCUAGUGAAUCAGUUGUUAGUGGCGGACGGGUGAGUAACGCGUGGGUAACCUGCCGUAUACCGGGGGAUAACACUUAGAAAUAGGUGCUAAUACCGCAUAAGCGCACGAGGCCGCAUGGUCAGGUGUGAAAAACUCCGGUGGUAUACGAUGGACCCGCGUCUGAUUAGCUAGUUGGUGAGGUAACGGCUCACCAAGGCGACGAUCAGUAGCCGGCCUGAGAGGGUGAACGGCCACAUUGGGACUGAGACACGGCUCAAACUCCUACGGGAGGCAGCAGUGGGGAAUAUUGCACAAUGGGGGAAACCCUGAUGCAGCGACGCCGCGUGAGUGAAGAAGUAUUUCGGUAUGUAAAGCUCUAUCAGCAGGAAAGAAAAUGACGGUACCUGACUAAGAAGCCCCGGCUAACUACGUGCCAGCAGCCGCGGUAAUACGUAGGGGGCAAGCGUUAUCCGGAUUUACUGGGUGUAAAGGGAGCGUAGACGGUUAUGCAAGUCUGAAGUGAAAUGCGGGGGCUCAACCCCUGAACUGCUUUGGAAACUGUAAAACUGGAGUGCAGGAGAGGUAAGUGGAAUUCCUAGUGUAGCGGUGAAAUGCGUAGAUAUUAGGAGGAACACCAGUGGCGAAGGCGGCUUACUGGACUGUAACUGACGUUGAGGCUCGAAAGCGUGGGGAGCAAACAGGAUUAGAUACCCUGGUAGUCCACGCUGUAAACGAUGAAUACUAGGUGUGGGGGGACUGACCCCCUCCGUGCCGGAGUUAACACUUUAAGUAUUCCACCUGGGGAGUACGGCCGCAAGGUUGAAACCUCAAAGGAAUUGACGGGGGCCCGCACAAGCAGUGGAUUAUGUGGUUUAAUUCGAAGCAACGCGAAGAACCUUACCAGGGCUUGACAUCCAACUAACGAAGCAGAGAUGCAUUAGGUGCCCUUCGGGGAAAGUUGAGACAGGUGGUGCAUGGUUGUCGUCAGCUCGUGUCGUGAGAUGUUGGGUUAAGUCCCAUAACGAGCGCAACCCUUAUUGUUAGUUGCUACGCAAGAGCACUCUAGCGAGACUGCCGUUGACAAAACGGAGGAAGGUGGGGACGACGUCAAAUCAUCAUGCCCCUUAUGUCCUGGGCUACACACGUAAUACAAUGGCGUUUAACAGAGGGAAGCAAAGCCGCGAGGCGGAGCAAAUCCCUAAAAGGCGUCUCAGUUCGGAUCGCAGGCUGCAACCCGCCUGCGUGAAGUCGGAAUUGCUAGUAAUCGCGGAUCAGCAUGCCGCGGUGAAUACGUUCCCGGGCCUUGUACACACCGCCCGUCACACCAUGAGAGCCGGGAACACCCGAAGUCCGUAGUCUAACCCGCAAGGGAGGGCGCGGCCGAAGGUGGGUUUGGUAAUUGGGGUGAAGUCGUAACAAGGUAACCAAU
rnacentral:rRNA from 1 species